rnacentral:rRNA from 10 species
UAUGGAGCCGAUAGGACGGGUGUUCACCUCUUCCCAUCUCGAACAGAGAAGUUAAGCCCCGCACCGCUGAUGAUACUGGGAUCAAACCCGGGAAAGUAAGUAAGCUCCAAGU